rnacentral:rRNA from 1 species
CCUACGGGGGGCUGUAGUGGGGAAUAUUGGACAAUGGGGGGAACCCUGAUCCAGCCAUGCCGCGUGUGUGAAGAAGGCCCUCGGGUUGUAAAGCACUUUCAGUGAGGAAGAACGCCUGGUGGUUAAUACCCAUCAGGAAAGACAUCACUCACAGAAGAAGCACCGGCUAACUCCGUGCCAGCAGCCGCGGUAAUACGGAGGGUGCGAGCGUUAAUCGGAAUUACUGGGCGUAAAGCGCGCGUAGGUGGCUUGAUAAGCCGGUUGUGAAAGCCCCGGGCUCAACCUGGGAACGGCAUCCGGAACUGUCAAGCUAGAGUGCAGGAGAGGAAGGUAGAAUUCCCGGUGUAGCGGUGAAAUGCGUAGAGAUCGGGAGGAAUACCAGUGGCGAAGGCGGCCUUCUGGACUGACACUGACACUGAGGUGCGAAAGCGUGGGUAGCAAACAGGAUUAGAUACCCCAGUAGUC